AUGAUCCUGGCUCAGGAUGAACGCUAGCGGCAGGCUUAAUACAUGCAAGUCGUGGGGCAGCAGGGGUAGCAAUACCCGCUGGCGACCGGCAAACGGGUGCGGAACACGUACGCAACCUUCCUUUAACUGGAGAAUAGCCCCUCGAAAGAGGGAUUAAUACUCCGUAACAUAUUGAUAAGGCAUCUUAUUAAUAUUAUAGCUCCGGCGGUUAAAGAUGGGCGUGCGCCUGAUUAGAUAGUUGGUGGGGUAACG
rnacentral:rRNA from 1 species